UCGUCGACAUGCCGCGCGGCGAGCACGGAUUCGGCUACGACCCGUAUUUCUACCUGCCGUCGCUCGGCGCGACGGCCGCCGAAC
rnacentral:tRNA from 1 species